ACAAAGGCUCGGUUCAGGCUCAGCGGGACAAGGGAGGGGUGAGGUUUAAUGCUAAUGCGCUUGGGAGAUAGUGAUGUAUAAGGGUCAGUGGGUCGCAUUCUCUCAUAGUAUCAGAUGACAUCAUUGCAAAAAGGGAGAGAGGGAGGCAGUGGCAAAGUCAAAGUACCGCUCAGCAAUGAUUAAGAGGCUUUUACUUCACGGGGGCAACGAUGUGGGCGAGCGCUAACACCGACGCCUAGCUUAACGCGUCUAAGCACACAGGGCCGCGCUGCCGUGAGACUAAACCCAGACAGAAGUGAGACAAGGACAAGCAAAUGGACCCCUCGCCCUCUGCUGCCUGGACCCGCGAUCCAUCAGGGGCGAAACGCUGGACGGGAAGCGGCUCCAUCAGAUUACAGGAGCAGAGGAGCGGUCUUAUUUCCUGUUUGCUCAGGGCUCACAGAUCAGGUGUCAACCGUCUGGUGUCCAUAAUCACUGCUCCGCUCCCUUUAUCCCCCAUCUCUACAGCCGCACACUGACCUUCAGUGUGUCCCCUUAGAAGCUAACAUCUGGGCUGAAAAAACAGUGAGCUGGUACAACUUGUGAAAGUAAAGUGCAGCCGGAGCUCCUGACCCUCGGCCGAGAUCAGGACCUGUGCCUCUGUUGGAUGCUGCGGAAAAAAGAACGCACGGAGAUGGGUUGACAGAACAAUGGCUGACUUAUCGCGUGCGUGGACGCUCAAGCGGCCGGAGAGACGCGGACCGACUCACCUCUCUG